rnacentral:misc_RNA from 1 species
GUAGGUGAACCUGCGGAAGGAUCAUUACCGAGAGACGGGGUCUCAACGGCCCCACUCUUCACCCGUGUCUACUUAUCUUCUGUUGCUUUGGCGGGCCAUCGAGCGUUAUCGCUCGGCGCCAGGGGGAAGGCGAGCGCCCUCCGCCCGGCGAGUGUCCGCCACAGGCCGUCAAUACCCUAUCUCAGUGAUGUCCGAGCCAACUAAGCAAUAGUUAAAACUUUCAACAACGGAUCUCUUGGUUCUGGCAUCG